AUUGAACGCUGGCGGCAGGCCUAACACAUGCAAGUCGAGCGGAUGAAGGUAGCUUGCUACCUGAUUCAGCGGCGGACGGGUGAGUAAUGCCUAGGAAUCUGCCUGGUAGUGGGGGACAACGUUUCGAAAGGAACGCUAAUACCGCAUACGUCCUACGGGAGAAAGUGGGGGAUCUUCGGACCUCACGCUAUCAGAUGAGCCAGGGUACGAUUAGCUAGUUGGUGAGGUAAAGGCUCACCAAGGCGACGAUCGUUAACUGGUCUGAGAGGAUGAUCAGUCACACUGGAACUGAGACACGGUCCAGACUCCUACGGGAGGCAGCAGUGGGGAAUAUUGGACAAUGGGCGAAAGCCUGAUCCAGCCAUGCCGCGUGUGUGAAGAAGGUCUUCGGAUUGUAAAGCACUUUAAGUUGGGAGGAAGGGCAGUAAGUUAAUACCUUGCUGUUUUGACGUUACCGACAGAAUAAGCACCGGCUAACUUCGUGCCAGCAGCCGCAGUAA
rnacentral:rRNA from 1 species